CAGUCGCCACGGUAAUACGUAGGGUGCAAGCGUUAAUCGGAAUUACCGGGCGUAAAGCGUGCGCAGGCGGUCCGCUAAGACAGAUGUGAAAUCCCCGGGCUUAACCUGGGAACUGCAUUUGUGACUGGCGGGCUAGAGUAUGGCAGAGGGGGGUAGAAUUCCACGUGUAGCAGUGAAAUGCGUAGAGAUGUGGAGGAAUACCGAUGGCGAAGGCAGCCCCCUGGGCCAAUACUGACGCUCAUGCACGAAAGCGUGGGGAGCAAACAGGAUUAGAUACCCGUGUAGUCCCUGUCUCUUAUAA
rnacentral:rRNA from 1 species